rnacentral:rRNA from 1 species
CAGCGCCACAAGUGGCAAUCAGCUUUAUUUGGUCUAAAGCGUCCGUAGCUGGUUCGGUAAAUCUCUUGUGAAAUCGUUGGGCUCAACCUAACGGACUGCGGGAGACACUACCAGACUCGGGACCGGGAGGAGUCAGAGGUAUUCCUUGGGGAGCGGUAAAAUGCUUUAAUCCUUGGAAGACCACCAAUGGCGAAGGCAUCUGACCAGAACGGAUCCGACAGUGAGGGACGAAAGCUAGGGGAGCGAACCGGAUUAGAUACCCGUGUAGUCC